UACGAAGGGGGCUAGCGUUGUUCGGAAUCACUGGGCGUAAAGCGCACGCAGGCGGAUCGUUAAGUCAGGGGUGAAAUGCCGAGGCUCAACCUCGGAACUGCCUUUGAUACUGGCGAUCUUAGAGUCCGGGAGAGGUGAGUGGAACUCCGAGUGUAGAGGUGAAAUCGUAGAUAUUCGGAAGAACACCAGUGGCGAAGGCGGCUCACUGGCCCGGUACUGACGCUCAGGUGCGAAAGCGUGGGGAGCAAACAGG
rnacentral:rRNA from 1 species